CUUCCGUAGGGUGAACCUGCGGAAGGAUCAUUAAAGAGUAAGGGUGCUCAGCGCCCGACCUCCAACCCUUUGUUGUUAAAACUACCUUGUUGCUUUGGCGGGACCGCUCGGUCUCGAGCCGCUGGGGAUUCGUCCCAGGCGAGCGCCCGCCAGAGUUAAACCAAACUCUUGUUAUUAAACCGGUCGUCUGAGUUAAAAUUUUGAAUAAAUCAAAACUUUCAACAACGGAUCUCUUGGUUCUCGCAUCGAUGAAGAACGCAGCGAAAUGCGAUAAGUAAUGUGAAUUGCAGAAUUCAGUGAAUCAUCGAAUCUUUGAACGCACAUUGCGCCCCUUGGUAUUCCGAGGGGCAUGCCUGUUCGAGCGUCAUUACACCACUCAAGCUAUGCUUGGUAUUGGGUGCCGUCCUUAGUUGGGCGCGCCUUAAAGACCUCGGCGAGGCCUCACCGGCUUUAGGCGUAGUAGAAUUUAUUCGAACGUCUGUCAAAGGAGAGGACUUCUGCCGACUGAAACCUUUAUUUUUCUAGGUUGACCUCGGAUCAGGUAGGGAUACCCGCUGAACUUAAGCAUAUCAAUACGCGGAGGAAGA
rnacentral:rRNA from 1 species